rnacentral:rRNA from 1 species
GUGCAGCAGUCGCGAAAACUCCGCAAUACGCGAAAGCGUGACGGGGCCAUCCCGAGUGCCGUCCGCUGAGGAUGGCUUUUCCCCGUUGUAAGGAGCCGGGGGAAUAAGGAGAGGGCAAGUCUGGUGUCAGCCGCCGCGGUAAUACCAGCUCUCCGAGUGGUAGGGGUGAUUAUUGGGCUUAAAGCGUCCGUAGCCUGCCCUUCAAGUCUCUCGUUAAAUCCAGCGAUUCAAUCGUUGGACUGCGGGAGAUACUGUUGGGCUAGGAGGCGGGAGAAGCCGACGGUAUUUCCGGGGUAGGGGUAAAAUCCUAUAAUCCCGGGAGGACCACCAGUGGCGUAGGCGGUCGGCUAGCACGCGCUCGACGGUGAGGGACGAAAGCUGGGGGAGCAAACCGGAUUAGAUACCCGCGUAGUCC